rnacentral:rRNA from 1 species
GGGAAUAUUGGACAAUGGGCGCAAGCCUGAUCCAGCAAUGCCGCGUGUGUGAGGAAGGUCUUCGGAUUGUAAAGCACUUUCGGCGGGGACGAUGAUGACGGUACCCGCAGAAGAAGCCCCGGCUAACUUCGUGCCAGCAGCCGCGGUAAUACGAAGGGGGCGAGCGUUGCUCGGAAUGACUGGGCGUAAAGGGCGCGUAGGCGGAUGACGCAGUCAGAUGUGAAAUUCCUGGGCUUAACCUGGGGGCUGCAUUUGAGACGCGUUGUCUAGAGUGUGAAAGAUGGUCGUGGAAUUCCCAGUGUAGAGGUGAAAUUCGUAGAUAUUGGGAAGAACACCGGUGGCGAAGGCGGCGACCUGGUUCAUGACUGACGCUGAGGCGCGAAAGCGUGGGGAGCAAAC